CGCUUAGGACUUUUUUUUUGCAUUUUUAGAGGAUAUGAUCUCUUAGGCGCUCUCGAUCCGACUUCUUCUCUUUCUCCUCAUUCAGGAAGAGAUUGAGAUUCCGAUUGGCUUGAAAUCGCGGUGUUCUACUCGGAAGCUUCCUUGAGUUUGCUGUUCAUCGAUGUUCUUGUGCACUUUGAAGGAUACAAGAAAACAGAGGACGACUCAUCGGAGAUUCGAGCUCCAUAAAUCUCGCAAGCUACCGGAAGCUAUCAGACCUAUUACGAAUUCACGAUUGCCAAACAGGAGUGCUCAAUCACUUGAUCCAUUUCAGGUACUAAGUUUUGUUAUCAUUAAUAAAAUUUGAAUUCUAUUUUUUAAUUAUUUUGUGCAUGUGCGUGAUACUCAAUUGAUUGCUUGAAUUUAAUUUACUUACUUUGGUUGCAUCACAACUAAAGUUAAAUU